CGCCGGCGAUGGUUCAUUCAAAUUUCUUCCCUAUCAACUUUCGAUGCUAGAGUAGUGUUCUAGCAUGGUUACAACGGGUAACGGAGGGUUAGGGCUCGACCCCGGAGAAGGAGCCUGAGAAACGGCUACUACAUCCAAGGAAGGCAGCAGGCGCGCAAAUUACCCAAUCCCGACACGGGGAGGUAGUGACGAUAAAUACUGAUACAGGGCUCUUUUGGGUCUUGUAAUUGGAAUGAGUACAAUUUAAAUCCCUUAACGAGGAACAAUUGGAGGGCAAGUCUGGUGCCAGCAGCCGCGGUAAUUCCAGCUCCAAUAGCGUAUAUUAAAGUUGUUGUGGUUAAAAAGCUCGUAGUAGAACCUUGGGCCUGGCUGACCGGUCCGCCUCACCGCGUGUACUGGUCCGGCCGGGCUCCCACCAUAGUCUAACCGCAUGCCCUUCACUGGGUGUGUUGGCGAAACUAUAUUUUUACUUUGAAAAAAUUAGAGUGCUCCAGGCAGGCCUAUGCUCGAAUACAUUAGCAUGGAAUAAUAGAAUAGGACGUGUGGUUCUAUUUUGUUGGUUUCUAGGACCGCCGUAAUGAUUAAUAGGGACAGUCGGGGGCAUCAGUAUUCAAUUGUCAGAGGUGAAAUUCUUGGAUUUAUUGAAGACUAACUACUGCGAAAGCAUUUGCCAAGGAUGUUUUCAUUUAUCAGGAACGAAAGUUAGGGGAUCGAAGACGAUCAGAUACCGUCGUAGUCUUAACCAUAAACUAUGCCGACUAGGGAUCGGACGAUGUUAUUUUUUGACUCGUUCGGCACCUUACGAGAAAUCAAAGUGCUUGGGCUCCAGGGGGAGUAUGGUCGCAAGGCUGAAACUUAAAGAAAUUGACGGAAGGGCACCACCAGGGGUGGAGC
rnacentral:rRNA from 1 species